rnacentral:lncRNA from 1 species
GAUCCAUAGAACAAAAAGUGCCUGAACGGACAAGGCCUCUGGAAUAUUGCAGAAAACUGUGGAUCUUCAGGAGAGUAAGACCUGGACUUUGCUGAAACUUCUGAGCUCUGCUUCAGUCUCCUAGGCGCAAAGACCUGGUCUCUAUGAAGCUCAGUGUCUGUGAGACGCUACCAUCAUGGCAGCCCCCGUUCAUGUUUCUCUUGCUGACCUAUCCUCUGCAGGGGAAGCCAAGUCUGCUAACGGGGUGGUGCCGUGCGGACACUCAAUGUUGCAGUUAAACCACAUCCCUUAAGAAGGAAACCUAAGGUGGCUGCUCAUUUGAGGUUCUCCAGUGGCCACACCAAUGAUAUGAGUGUGAGUCCACAUGCAGGACGAUUUAAUGGCUGUGCAGUCAUGCUCAAAAGGUAAGCACAGAAGGCGGAGAAGGACAGCCUGCCCUUGAAAUGAAACCUCUUGUUCCCUUUGUAUCCAGGAGGAAAAUCUCAUUAGAAAGAUCCUCCAGAGCCACAAAAAUAAGCACAUGCGUCAAAAGGAGGGCAGAAAGCCCAGGACACGAGGCGGGGGGGCGCUGAGAUAAAAAGAUUAUAGCUAGAAAACAGCCAAUCCCACCAUCAUAGCUGCUGCCUCAUCCCUUCCACACUUUCCAGACCCCCAAACUUGGCGGAAUAACAGGGUCUGCUGUGGGAGACUAAGAGGCGGCCAGCCCAGGGCUCAGUGCACUGCCGC